UGGCUCAGUGGUAGAGCGUAUGCCUUGCAUGCAUGAGGCCCUGGGUUCGAUUCCUCAG
rnacentral:tRNA from 1 species